UAAAAAAAUGGAAUAUGAAUAUUUGAAUUUAGGCACAUUUGACUUAUUAUUCACUUUUUUAUACGUAAAUGAUGUGACAUAUAUCUCACUUAAAAGGAUCAUAUCCUUAUAACAAAAUGAUUGUUUUUACACAAGUUUUAGUACGUCUACACCAAAUUAACCUAAAUUAUAGAUCAUGAUUUGAACUUUAGGUGUAGAAGAAGAUUAUGUUGCUUUAGUUAAUUUGGCUAAGUCUAAUAAAAUGAAGUUAAAGCAGAACUCUUGAGAAAAUGAUGAUUAAUUGCAUUUCAAAUGUUGGGCAUUAGAAAUACUGAAUUUCGUACAUAGUACGGCAUUACGAAAUAACUCACGACGGUGAUACUUAACAAACAAGAACACUAAGAACCAUAAUAGGGAUACGAGGUUAACAACCCAACUGUGAAGGCCAUUAACUUAUUCUAGCUAGUUCCAUACUCGUAUCAAAGUACCUACGUCCAUUCAUCCACUGAUAAUUAAGUGAUAAGUGAUAGGAGCACAUUUAUGUGACUUAGUUAGCUUGUUUCUUGGCAUUUAUGUUGUUAGUUCCUUGUUAUUUUAUUAUUUUAAAUAGUUUUCGUGUGUUUAUAGGUCCAAAUGGCUAAAGUGGCAAGAAAAUGUAUUUUGGGGCAUUUUGGAGCAGUUUUGGGCUUGGAAUGGAUAGCACAUGCAUGGAGCAAGGUGGAUGGACAAAUUUGAAGACCAAAAGAGACUGGGAAUGUGCUAAGAAGAUGAAGGAAUUAAGUCAUGAAGGAGGGAAGAAUUUGGAGCCAUGUGUUCCCUUUCAUGUCCCCUUGUUGCAUCAAACUUUCUCUUUCACUUUGUGUCAUAACUUUCUCUUUACCUUUCACUUUGUGUCAUAACUUCCUCUUUCCCUUUCACUUUGUGUCAUAACCCUUCCUUGUCCCCUAUGCAUUUCCUUCUCCUAUAAAUAAAAGCCUUUGCCACACCAUUCAAAUGAUCCAUCCUUCACCACAUUUCAUCCAUCCCCCACCACAAUCCACCACCAUUCAACACAACCAAAAAACAUCCAAACACUCCUUGUCGCAGCCAUCAACUCAUCCAUACACCACCAUACACACUUUGAGCCAUUCUUCCAUAUAAUACACCAUCCAAUACACCAUCCAAACCUUCACCCAACUCUUGUGUCGCACCAAAGAGAAUAAGGAGGACCCUUGGAAUGGUUGUUAUUCAAGUUUGGAUUGCUGGAUCAUUCUUAGGUGUAAUCAAUCUUUUGUUUUCAAUGUUUAAAUUCAAUUUUAUUUCUUUUGCUGUGAACAUGAGUUAGGGGAGACUUUGAAGCCAUGAUUUUAUAUGCAAUAUGAAUUGAUUAAAUCCAGUUAUGAAUUUGUGAAUCGUGAAGGCAAUUUGCUUAACUGUUUUAUUCAAAACUUAUUUUUGUAUGUCGAUUAAGGGUGCACACUUAGUUUGCAUGCAUGAAUUUGAUGCUAGAAUAUAAGGGAAUUUCACAUAAUCGUUAGGAACUUAUAUUCACAAGUAGUGAAGGUUUCUAGUCACGAUCGCGUUAAGUUAAAUUCCUGGCAUGAGUAUCAUGAUGUCAUAGUUACGAAUGCUUUGUCAAUGCUUAUGAUUUUCACAGAACGUAAUGAUCUUUGAUUGUAUCUUUAUUAUGAUGUCAUGUAGGGAACUUUUGAAGAAUGCUUUGGGUUGUCGAAUGAUGUCAUCCAAUCCAAUAACUAAAGGAAAAUCUGAGGGUUAAUUAGUGAUUGACACGGUUAAUAUGGGGCAUUGUCGUUCAUAAUUCAACAAAAGAGUAACUGGAAAUCGAUUCAUGUUCAUAUAAGUUAUGUGUGGAUAAAGGAAAACCUCUAGCUAAGCCCACAAACCAUCUAUAAAUCCAAAUUCGUACCAAAAUUUGUCUAGUUUAGUUUCUGUCUUGUUUUAGUUCAAAUUCGUCAAAAUCAAAACCCCCAUUUGCUUUAAGUGUCAAUUAGGUUAGAAUCUAUGUUAUUUUGUGUUUUUGAGUGUCUUGAGUCAUAAUCAAAUCAAUUUUCGUUCAAAGUCAUCUCUAGUGUCUAGUUUGAGUCAAUUUGAUUGUUUGAAGUUGUUUUAAGUCUUUUAAGAUUGUUUGAGUCAUAUAACCUUAGUUAAUUUGACGCACAUCACAGCCCAACCCAUUUCUACUAGCCUAAUUGAGCUUAAUUAUCCUCCUUUUGUAAUUCCACCCACAAUAAAAAGUUAUAUAAUUAAAACGCUAUUUUCAAACCCACUAUUAUUUAUGAAAUUCCCUUCUCAUGAGGGCAUGAGUUUUUUUCUCCCUUAGUCGUCGUUUAGGAUUCUGAAGUCUUCUUGUGUUCCUCUUGAUGUGAAGAAAUUUGAAGUUCCACGAAGUCUGACAAUAACAUAGUAAAAGGCAUGUAAAUUUGUCCCAUUCCUUUCAUUUUCCCUUGCUUUUCUUCUUAUAAUCCCUUUGGCACGUACAACGAAACAAUCUUAUAUGAAUAAGGUUUACAAGUAAAGAGAUUGAUUACAAUUUACAAACAAUAAAAUUACAGAUACCAAAUUCACUGUGCAAGAAAAAUUGAAAACAACAAACUGUUCAGAAAAAGUAUAAUUAUCCUUAAAAUUGGAAAUUUUAAUAUAACGUCGACAAAGAAGAGUAAGAACCUACCACAACAAUAAUAAAGUAUUAUCCUACUAAGUGGGGUCGACUAUAUAAAUUUUAGAACGUCAUUACACUCGGUUUUAUGUCACAUCUUCUGUUAGAUCCAAGUAAUUCAAAUCUUUUCUUAGAGUCUCUUUAGACCAUCUCCAAACCUGGGCUAAAAGUCAAAUUACCCCCCCCCCCAAACACUCUCCAACCCAUGUAAAAAAUUUAGGCUAGAUGCCAAAUGUUAUUUCUGGGCCAAAUACCUCACAGCUUUCCCCCCGGGCUAAAUGUCAAAUGUUUAUCGGAAUUUAAAUUUUUUUAGAUUAAAAUGUUCAUAAAAUUAAUUUACAAUAAUCUACAUAUUUUUUUUAAAAAAAAAUUGAUUUAAGAAAAAAAUUAGCCUAAGUUCAUUCUUUAAUAAUUCCAGGCUAAAAUUUUAGAGCAGAAUGGUUGGAGCAGAAAAUAUGUUUCUAGGCUAAAAGCCAAAUUUUUCGGGGCUAAAAAAUUUGGCUUUUAGCCCAAGGGUUGGAGAUGAUCUUAGACGGUUAUAUUUUAAUGGAGCAUGGAACAACGAAAGAAAAGUCGGAGGAGUGGGUUAAUUGUGAGGGAAAAAAAGCUGGAAAUUUUGUGGCGCCAUACUGCAGGAAUUUCCAUGAUGUAUUUUCUCCUUUGCAAGCAGAUGCGUUGCCUGCGAAAGAAGGUGUGGUUUGGGCCGCGGCCCACCCCCACCUCCCCCGCAAAACACAAACCAAACACCUCCCCCUCCCCUCAUCAACCUGCACCCAACCUUAAUCCCAAAAAAUAAAAAAAUGGAAUACUUGAAUUUAGGCACAUUUGACUUAUUAUUCACUUUUUUAUACGUAAAUGAAGUGACCUAUAUCUCACGUAAAAGGAUCAUAUCCUUAUAACAAAAUGAUUGUUUUUACACAAGUUUUAGUACGUCUACACCAAAUUAACCUAAAUUAUAGAUCAUGAUUUGAACUUUAGGUGUAGAGGAAGAUUAUGUUGCUUUAGUUAAUUUGGCUAAGUCUAAUAAAAUGAAGUUAAAGCAUAACUCUUGAGAAAAUGAUGAUUAAUUGCAUUUCAAACGUAAAGGAUCAGGAAUACUGAAAUUCGUACAUAGUACGGCAUUACGAAAAACUCACGACGGUGGUACUUAACAAACAAGAACACUAAGAACCAUAAUAGGGAUACGAGGUUAACAACCCAACUGUGAAGGCCAUUAACUUAUUCUAGCUAGUUCCACACUCGUAUCAAAGUACCUACGUCCAUUCAUCCACUGAUAAUUAAGUGAUAAGUGAUCAGCUCAUCACUAGCUUAAUUAAUUAGCUAAUUAACAAUGUUUAGUGCAAAAG
rnacentral:lncRNA from 1 species